CUCAUCUUACUAUCUGGACUAUUGCCGAAUCCCCAACUUGAAACUUCAGUACUAUCUAUAUGCCUGAAUACUAUUUCUACGCUUUAUGCAAUUCCAUUUGGUCUCUCUGGCGCUGUAAGCACUCGAGUUUCUAAUCAAUUAGGAGCUGGAAAUCCUCUAGGAGCUCGUGUAUCUGUGAUUUCUGUAAUGCUCCUUGCAGCCACAGAGACAAUACUAGUUAGCGCAGCUGUAUUUGCUAGUCGGAACGUAUUUGGCUACAUUUUCAGCAACGAGAAGGAAGUCGUGGACUAUGUAGCAAAGAUGGCUCCUCUUCUAUGUCUAUCAGUCAUUACUGACAGUCUUCAAGGAACCCUUUCAGGUGUCGCGAGGGGAUGUGGUUGGCAGCAUAUCGGAGCCUAUGUGAAUCUUGCUUCAUUUUACCUUUGUGGCAUUCCUAUCGCUGCUUCAUUAGCGUUUUGGCUCAACUUUCGAGGAAAAGGCCUGUGGAUGGGCAUACUUUCUGGUGCAGCUCUGCAAACUAUUCUACUUUCUGUGAUAACAUGCUGCACAAACUGGGAAAAACAAGCUGCAAUGGCAAGGGAGAGGCUUCAUGCUGAUGAAAAAUCAUCAGUAGAUAACGUACUAUCGUAAAAAAAUGCAGAAAAUUCUCUUCGAAAUACUCGAGUAAUGUUAAUUGGUUUAUUGAGGCAUCUUUGCUCCGUGAAACCUGAAUAACAAGAGGCCAAGUGUCAUUUCCGAGUUGUUAGCGGAGCCACGACAACCAUUGAGAUGACCUCGAGAUAUGUGCUACACUUAUUGUUGAGGUCGAGGAUUACAAUAAAAGGUUAGUAGGUAGUUGAGGGUUAUUGUACUUCUAGUUGUACGCUUUAGGUACCAUAUAUGUGCUACACGUAUUGUUGAGGUCGACGAUCACAGUAAAAGGUUAGUAGAUAUCGAAGGUUAUUGUACUUCUAGUUGUACGCUUUAGGUACCAUAUAUGUGCUACACGUAUUGUUGAGGUCGACGAUCACAGUAAAAGGUUAGUAGAUAUCGAAGGUUAUUGUACUUCUAGUUGUACGCUUUAGGUACCAUAUAUGUGCUACACGUAUUGUUGAGGUCGACGAUCACAGUAAAAGGUUAGUAGAUAUCGAA
rnacentral:misc_RNA from 1 species